UGUCUGUUCUGUGUGUGAAGAGCAUUUACAUAGAGACACUUUGCAUGAGAGAGUUUAUAGUGCUGUGUGUUUAACACUUCAUGACUGAGAGCAGAACAGAACACAAUCUUCAUCAUCACACAAGACACAACAACAACAAUGAACAACAUCAUCAUCCUCAUCUGGACACUGUGUAUAUGUGUACCAGGUUUCAGUGGGCAGGUGACUGUGACUCAGACUCCAUCUGUUAAAACAGUUCAGAUCGGUGGUACAGUCACUAUAAACUGCAAAACUAACACAGUAGUGAAAGAUGCUUGUUCAGGUUCAUAUACUUGUAUGGCCUGGUAUCAGCAAAAACCUGGAGAAGCUCCUAAACUCCUCAUAUAUUAUGCAACAAACCGUAACACUGGAACUCCAUCUAGAUUCAGUGGCAGUGGAUCCAGAAGUGAUUUCACUCUGACCAUCAGUGGAGUCCAGACUGAAGAUACAGGACAUUAUUACUGUCAGAGUUUACACUACAUUAACAGUAAUAAUGUUUACACACAGUGAUAAAGAGUCGUACAAA